AUAUUGGUCAAUGGACGCAAGUCUGAACCAGCCAUGCCGCGUGAAGGAUUAAGGCCCUCUGGGUUGUAAACUUCUUUUAUAGGGGAAGAAAUGUGACGGUUCUCCGUCACUUGACGGUACCCUGGGAAUAAGCACCGGCUAACUCCGUGCCAGCAGCCGCGGUAAUAAGGAGGGUGCAAGCGUUAUCCGGAUUCACUGGGUUUAAAGGGUGCGUAGGUGGGCAGAUAAGUCAGUGGUGAAAUCUUCCGGCUUAACCGGGAAACUGCCGUUGAUACUAUUUGUCUUGAAUAUUGCGGAGGUAAGCGGAAUAUGUCAUGUAGCGGUGAAAUGCUUAGAUAUGACAUAGAACACCAAGUGCGAAGGCAGCUUACUACACAAUCAUUGACACUGAGGCACGAAAGCGUGGGUAGCGAACA
rnacentral:rRNA from 1 species